rnacentral:rRNA from 1 species
CUUAAAGAAAUUGACGGAAGGGCACCACCAGGAGUGGAGCCUGCGGCUUAUUUUGACUCAACACGGGGAAACUUACCAGGUCCAGACGUAGUAAGGAUUGACAGAUUGAUAGCUCUUUCUUGAUUYUAUGGGUGGUGGUGCAUGGCCGUUCUUAGUUGGUGGAGUGAUUUGUCWGGUUAAUUCCGAUAACGAACGAGACCUUAACCUGCUAAYUAGAUCUUAUUAUCUUAUAAUUUGCAUCUUCUUAGAGGGACUAUGUAAUCUAAAUACAUGGAAGUUUGAGGCAAUAACAGGUCAGUGAUGCCCUUAUAUGUCCUGGGCUGCACGCGUGCUACACUGAUGCAUACAACAAGUGCCUAACCAGACAUGGUAUGGCAAUCUYGAAUAUGCAUCGUGAUGGGGAUAGAUCUUUGCAAUUAUAGAUCUUGAACGAGGAAUUCCUAGUAAGUGCAAGUCAUCAUCYUGCAUUGAUUAUGUCCCUGCCCUUUGUACACACCGCCCGUCGCUCCUACCGAUACCGGGUGAUCCGGU